rnacentral:rRNA from 1 species
UACGUAGGGUCCGAGCGUUGUCCGGAAUUAUUGGGCGUAAAGGGCUCGUAGGCGGUCUGUUGCGUCAGGAGUGAAAACUCGGGGCUUAACCCCGAGCCUGCUUCUGAUACGGGCAGACUAGAGGUAUGCAGGGGAGAACGGAAUUCCUGGUGUAGCGGUGAAAUGCGCAGAUAUCAGGAGGAACACCGGUGGCGAAGGCGGUUCUCUGGGCAUUACCUGACGCUGAGGAGCGAAGUGUGGGUAGGGCGAACAGG